rnacentral:rRNA from 1 species
CCUACGGGAGGCUGCAGUGGGGAAUAUUGCACAAUGGGGGAAACCCUGAUGCAGCGACGCCGCGUGAGUGAAGAAGUAAUUCGUUAUGUAAAGCUCUAUCAGCAGGGAAGAAAAUGACGGUACCUGAGUAAGAAGCCCCGGCUAACUACGUGCCAGCAGCCGCGGUAAUACGGAGGAUGCGAGCGUUAUCCGGAUUUAUGGGGUUUAAAGGGUGCGCAGUGGGCCUGUUAAGUAGGCGGGAAAAGCCCGGGGCCCAACCCCGGCGAGCCGUUGAAACUGGCGGGCUGGAGUUGGAGAGAAGUAGGCGGAAUGCGCGGUGUAGCGGUGAAAUGCUUAGAUAUCGCGCAGAACCCCGAUUGCGAAGGCAGCGUACCGGCUCCACACUGACGCUGAGGCACGAAAGCGUGGGUAUCGAACAGGAUUAGAUACCCGUGUAGUC